GUCGGGCAUGGUGGCGUGUGCCUGUAAUCCCAGCUACUCAGGAGGCUGAGGCAGGAGAAUCACUUGAACCCGGGAGGCAGAGGUUGCGGUGAGCCGAGAUCGUGCCACUGCACUCCUGCCUGGCUGACACAGUGAAACUCUGCCUCAA
rnacentral:SRP_RNA from 1 species